rnacentral:tRNA from 1 species
GCAGCUGUGGUUCAGUAGUAGAACUCUCACCUUCCAUGCGGGUGACCCGGGUUCAAUUCCCGACCAAUGCA